ensembl:lncRNA
AAUUAUCUAAUCUCUUUCCUCACCCUCCCCCAGGUUAAUGGGGCGUGGCGGGCGUACAGACAGCACCUCAUCCCCGACGGUGGGCGGGCGCGCCGAGCCGCAGGAGGCCAGGCAGCCGCUCAGGCAGCCCCCCCUGGGGGCGUGCUCCAUGAGCCUCGACGUGACGGGAGAUGAGGUCACAUCUCCGCCGCCCGGCACACCGGCGGAGCUGAGGAGCGAGGAAGCUUACUCCGCCAAGGGCAGGCUGGAGGAGCAGGAGCCACGCCCUGUACCCCAGAGCGAUAACCUGAUUGACUUCACUGAUCCUAACCCAGGAGUGAGUCCAAAGACACUACAGAC